CGGGACCCCACUGCUAUCGAGGUGGGACUAAGCCAUGCUAGUCGAACGCACAGAACUAUGUCUGUGAGUGGCAUACUGCUCAGUAACACGUAGCUAACCUACCCUUUAGGACGUUCACAACCCCGAGAAAUUGGGGCUAAUAAGCGAUAGAUAUGAUGUCCUGGAAUGGUAUUAUGUCUAAAGGUAUCCCAUACAUGUUUGGUAUACGCCUAAGGAUGGGGCUGCGGCUGAUCAGGCUGUUGGUGAGGUAAUGGCUCACCAAACCAUUGACCAGUACGGGCCAUGAGAGUGGUAGCCCGGAGAUGGACACUGAGACAAGGGUCCAGGCCCUACGGGGCGCAGCAGGCGCGAAACCUCCUCAAUGCACUAACGUGCGAAGGGGUUACCUCGAGUGCCAUCUGAAAAAGGUGGCUUUUCCUUGGUCUAAAUAGCCUUGGGAAUAAGAGGGGGGCAAGACUGGUGUCAGCCGCCGCGGUAACACCAGCCCCUCGAGUGGUGGGGAUGAUUAUUUGGCCUAAAGCGUCCGUAGCCGGCCGGGUAAGUUUCCCGUUAAAUCCAACGUCUCAAGCGUUGGACCGCGGGAAAUACUGUCUGGCUAGAGAGUGGGAGAGGUAAGCGGUAUUCUGGGGGUAGGGGCGAAAUCCUUUGAUCCCCGGAGGACCACCAGUGGCGAAGGCUGCUUACUAGAACACGUCUGACGGUCAGGGACGAAAGCUGGGGUAGCGAACCGGAUUAGAUACCCGGGUAGUCCCAGCUGUAAACGAUGCAUGCUAGGUGUUGGGUUGGCCACGAGCCACCCCAGUGCCGCAGGGAAGCCGUUAAGCAUGCCGCCUGGGAAGUACGAUCGCAAGAUUGAAACUUAAAGGAAUUGGCGGGGGAGCACCACCAGGCGUGAAGCC
rnacentral:rRNA from 1 species